GCAGGCGGGGACGGAUGGGCGCCCGCCCUGCUGGAGGUGCCGCAUUGUCAUUGACAGGAGCCGUGAGCGCCCUGGCCCAGCUCCAGUCUGUGAGUUACUUCUGCUUUGCCAGCCAUGGCUCCUGCAGUUUCACUGCGGUCUGGGCACUUCUGUCACUUCCUGGCCCAGAUCGCAAGAUCUUCCGGGCAGGGUCCGUGUGCCCAGGGCCCAGUCCGGCAAGGCCCUGAUUGGAGUCAUUGGGUGCUACCACAGUGCAGAUGAUAAAUCGCUGUGCAGUGUUGCUGUGAGCUGUUACCCAGCACCACGUUCCUCUGCAGAGCUGGCUGCAUUUGAGUGGAAUGUCACGUGAUCUCUAUAUCAGAUCCACACGCUGCAGUCCUGAUGGGCGGUCUCCCUCUCUCGAGCCGGGGGGAGGUUUGCAUUCUGGGAUCUCAAGUCUCUAGGGUGUUCUGCCUUAUAACGUAAGGUUUGGCCACAGCCAGCUGCUCCCUGGCAUUAGGCAGGUUGGCUCAAGGGAGCGCAGGUUCUCUGUGGCCGAGCGCAGUGUGAUGCCUGGCGUCUGAUUCCUUUGAUGUGGAAGGGUGAGGCUCUGUCCCCGUGCAGACGUGCUGGACUCCGGACUGAUGGCGUCAGGCACGGCGAGCCGCUCUGAAGACGAGGAGUCGCUGGCGGGACAGAAGAGGAGCGCGUCACAGGUCUCGGGCACCAUCCCCAAACGGCGGAGUUCCUCCAGGUACCCAGGAAGGGCCAAGGGCCAUGAGGAGGGGGUGCAGGGACCCCCUCUGGCGGUGAGGAUGGACUAGUCCAGGGCAGUCCCGGGGGGGGGUGGGGAGAGGUGGGAUCGACCAGCCAGCCCACGCUGGACACCUUCCAGGGCCUGCUGCACAAGCACCCCGAGACCUUCUACCCGGCGCGCACUGCCAAGGCCCUGCAGCUCUACUGGCAGCUCCUGAAGCAGUACUACCUCCUGGACGACCAGACAGUGCAGCCGCUGCCCAAGGGGGACCAGGUGCUGAACUUCUCGGACGCAGAGGACAUGAUCGAUGACAGCAAGCUGAAGGACGUGAGGGACGAUGUGCUGGAGCAUGGUGAGUCUGGCGGGGCCUUCGCUCCGCUCCCUGCCCUGGGGCGCUGGGUAGGGGAGCCGAGGGGCUCAUGGGAGGAUGGGG